UGGGAUGCCUCGCCUCCUUGACACCCUCCUUGAGACUCAACAUGAGGCAAGGUAAUUGCAGGAGUUGAUGAUAUGUAUCGUCCAGCACCGUUACUUGAGGCUUGAGUCUCAGUUUGAUCUUACAGUUCUACGGCUCAAAGGUUGAUGACUGCCAUGAGGCACU